CUGCCCAAUGGUACGGAAUAAUUCCGGGAAACUGGGACUAAUACCGUAUGAGCCCGCAAGGGGAAAGAUUUAUCGCCAUUGGAUGAACCCGCGUCGGAUUAGCUAGUUGGUGUGGUAAAGGCGCACCAAGGCGACGAUCCGUAGCUGGUCUGAGAGGAUGAUCAGCCACACUGGGACUGAGACACGGCCCAGACUCCUACGGGAGGCAGCAGUGGGGAAUAUUGGACAAUGGGCGCAAGCCUGAUCCAGCCAUGCCGCGUGAGUGAUGAAGGCCUUAGGGUUGUAAAGCUCUUUCGCCGACGAAGAUAAUGACGGUAGUCGG
rnacentral:rRNA from 1 species